rnacentral:rRNA from 1 species
UACAGAGGUCUCAAGCGUUGUUCGGAUUCAUUGGGCGUAAAGGGUGCGUAGGCGGCGCGGUAAGUCGGGUGUGAAAUCUCGGAGCUUAACUCCGAAACUGCAUUCGAUACUGCCGUGCUUGAGGACUGGAGAGGAGACUGGAAUUUACGGUGUAGCGGUGAAACGCGUAGAUAUCGUAAGGAAGACCAGUGGCGAAGGCGGGUCUCUGGACAGUUCCUGACGCUGAGUGAGCGAAAGCCAGGGGAGCAAACGGG